rnacentral:rRNA from 1 species
CCUACGGGUGGCUGCAGUGAGGAAUAUUGGUCAAUGGGCGCUAGCCUGAACCAGCCAAGUAGCGUGAAGGAUGACUGCCCUAUGGGUUGUACACUUCUUUUAUAUGGGAAUAAAGUGCAGUAUGUAUACUGCUUUGCAUGUACCUUAUGAAUAAGGAUCGGCUAACUCCGUGCCAGCAGCCGCGGUAAUACGGAGGAUCCGAGCGUUAUCCGGAUUUAUUGGGUUUAAAGGGAGCGUAGGCGGGUUGUUAAGUCAGUUGUGAAAGUUUGCGGCUCAACCGUAAAAUUGCAGUUGAUACUGGCAUCCUUGAGUGCGCGAGAAGUAUGCGGAAUGCGUGGUGUAGCGGUGAAAUGCAUAGAUAUCACGCAGAACUCCGAUUGCGAAGGCAGCAUACCGGCGCGCAACUGACGCUCAUGCACGAAAGCGUGGGUAUCGAACAGGAUUAGAUACCCUGGUAGUC